AUACGGAGGGGGUUAGCGUUGUUCGGAAUUACUGGGCGUAAAGCGUACGUAGGCGGACUGGAAAGUUGGGGGUGAAAUCCCGGGGCUCAACCCCGGAACUGCCUCCAAAACUUCCAAUCUAGAGAUCGAGAGAGGUGAGUGGAAUUCCAAGUGUAGAGGUGAAAUUCGUAGAUAUUUGGAGGAACACCAGUGGCGAAGGCGGCUCACUGGCUCGAUACUGACGCUGAGGUACGAAAGCGUGGGGAGCAAACAGGAUUAGAUACCCCAGUAGUCC
rnacentral:rRNA from 1 species